GACAGAGGUGCCGAGCGUUAGGCGGAAUCACUGGGCUUAAAGCGUGUGUAGGCGGAUCUGUAAGUACCUUGUGAAAUCCCACGGCUCAACCGUGGAACUGCUUGGUAUACUGCGGAUCUUGAGCCACCUAGGGGCGAGCGGAACAAGUGGUGGAGCGGUGAAAUGCGUAGAUAUCACUUGGAACGCCAAUGGUGAAAACAGCUCGCUGGGGGUGUGCUGACGCUGAGACACGAAAGCCAGGGGAGCAAACGGG
rnacentral:rRNA from 1 species